AAGACUAUACUUUUAGGGAUCAUUUGUAGAGUUCAUCACUAGGAGAGUUUCUCGGAAUGUGUAGCAUGUUGAAAGCCCCAAGGAGGAGGCAGGGCAUUCUCUCCUCGGUGUGAAGCCAGCUCCAGGUGUUGCUGAAGCAACUGCCUUUGCCAUAGGUGAUCCAUCAUUCUCCAUUUUGAUCUCCAUUAUUUUCAUGGAGGGUGGGGGUCGGUGGGGGGA